AGUCAUAUGCUUGUCUCAAAGAUUAAGCCAUGCAUGUCUCAGUACAAGCCAAAUUAAGGUGAAACCGCGAAAGGCUCAUUAAAUCAGUUAUGGUUCCUUAGAUCGUACCCACACUUACUUGGAUAACUGUGGUAAUUCUAGAGCUAAUACAUGCAAAUAGAGCCCCGACCGGNNNNAGACGGGAGGGNGCGCNNNUUUUAUUAGAUCAAAACCAAUCGGCGGNCGGUUCNNACACCGUCGUCGUACUUCUUGGUGACUCUGAAUAACNUUGUUGCUGAUCGCACGGUCUCGCACCGGCGACGCAUCUUUCAAAUGUCUGCCUUAUCANACUGUCGAUGGUAGGUUCUGCGCCUACCAUGGUUGUAACGGGUAACGGGGAAUCAGGGUUCGAUUCCGGAGAGGGAGCCUGAGAAACGGCUACCACAUCCAAGGAAGGCAGCAGGCGCGCAAAUUACCCACUCCCGGCACGGGGAGGUAGUGACGAAAAAUAACGAUACGGGACUCAUCCNGAGGCCCCGUAAUCGGAAUGAGUACACUCUAAACUCUUUAACGAGGAUCAAUUGGAGGGCAAGUCUGGUGCC
rnacentral:rRNA from 1 species